UGGGGAAUAUUGCACAAUGGGGGAAACCCUGAUGCAGCGACGCCGCGUGAACGAAGAAGGUAUUCGUAUCGUAAAGUUCUGUCCUAUGGGAAGAUAAUGACAGUACCAUAGAAGAAAGCUCCGGCUAAAUACGUGCCAGCAGCCGCGGUAAUACGUAUGGAGCGAGCGUUGUCCGGAAUUAUUGGGCGUAAAGGGUACGCAGGCGGUUUAAUAAGUCGAAUGUUAAAGAUCGGGGCUCAACCCCGUAAAGCAUUGGAAACUGAUAAACUUGAGUAGUGGAGAGGAAAGUGGAAUUUCUAGUGUAGUGGUGAAAUACGUAGAUAUUAGGAGGAAUACCAGUAGCGAAGGCGACUUUCUGGACACAAACUGACGCUGAGGUACGAAAGCGUGGGGAGCAAACAGG
rnacentral:rRNA from 1 species